rnacentral:rRNA from 1 species
UAGGGAAUCUUCCACAAUGGGCGCAAGCCUGAUGGAGCAACACCGCGUGAGUGAAGAAGGGUUUCGGCUCGUAAAGCUCUGUUGUUGAAGAAGAACGUGCAUGAGAGUAACUGUUCAUGCAGUGACGGUAUUCAACCAGAAAGUCACGGCUAACUACGUGCCAGCAGCCGCGGUAAUACGUAGGUGGCAAGCGUUAUCCGGAUUUAUUGGGCGUAAAGAGAGUGCAGGCGGUUUCUUAAGUCUGAUGUGAAAGCCUUCGGCUCAACCGAAGAAGUGCAUCGGAAACUGGGAGACUUGAGUACAGAAGAGGGCAGUGGAACUCCAUGUGUAGCGGUGGAAUGCGUAGAUAUAUGGAAGAACACCAGUGGCGAAGGCGGCUGCCUGGUCUGUAACUGACGCUGAGACUCGAAAGCAUGGGUAGCGAACAGGAUUAGAUACCCUGGUAGUCCAUGCCGUAAACGAUGAGUGCUGGGUGUUGGAGGGUUUCCGCCCUUCAGUGCCGGAGCUAACGCAUUAAGCACUCCGCCUGGGGAGUACGACCGCAAGGUUG